rnacentral:rRNA from 1 species
CAUGGCUCAGAGUGAACGCUGGCGGCGUGCUUAACACAUGCAAGUCGAACGGUAACAGGUCUUUCGAGACGCUGACGAGUGGCGAACGGGUGAGUAAUGUAUAGUUAAUUUGCCCCUUGGAGAGGGAUAGCCACUGGAAACGGUGAUUAAUACCUCAUACUCCUUUUCACCAUAAGGUGGACAGGGAAACGGUUUGUUCUGCCAAGGGAUAAGACUAUAUCCUAUCAGCUAGUUGGUGGUGUAAGAGACCACCAAGGCUAUGACGGGUAACUGGUCUGAGAGGAUGAUCAGUCACACUGGAACUGAGACACGGUCCAGACUCCUACGGGAGGCAGCAGUGGGGAAUAUUGGGCAAUGGAGGCAACUCUGACCCAGCAACGCCGCGUGGAGGAUGACGCAUUUCGGUGUGUAAACUCCUUUUUUGUGGGAAGAUAA